rnacentral:rRNA from 1 species
GUUGAGUAACGCGUGAGAAUGUAGCUCUAGGUCUGGGACAACAUUGGGAAACCGAUGCUAAUACCGGAUGUUCGGAGAGGUGAAAGGCUUGCUGCCUGGAGAUGAGCUAGCGUCAGAUUAGCUAGUUCGUGGGGUAAGAGCUUACCAAGGCGACGAUCGGUAGCUGGUCUGAGAGGACGAUAUGCCACACUGGGACUGCUACACGGCCCAGACUCCUACGGGAGGCAGCAGUGGGGAAUUUUCCGCAAUGGGCGAUAGCCUGACGGAGCAAUACCGCGUGAGAGAGGAAGGCUAUUGAGUUGUAAACCUCUUCUCACAAGGAAUAACAAGAUGAAGGUACUUGAGGAAUAAGCCUCGGCUAACUCCGUGCCAGCAGCCGCGGUAAUACGGAGGAUGCAAUCGUUAUCGGGAAUGAUUGGGCGUAAAGCGUCUGUAGGUGGUUUUGUGUGUCUACUGUUAGAGCGUGUUGCUCAACCGCAUAAGGGCGGUGGAAACUCCAAGACUAGAGUGCGUUCUGG